rnacentral:rRNA from 1 species
GUGAAGCCCCCCUCAAGAUGAGAUAUCCCAUACGCAAGUAGUAAGACCCCUUGAAGACGACGAGGUAGAUAGGGCAGAGGUGGAAGCGUAGUAAUACGUGAAGCUGACUGUUACUAAUCGGUCGAGGGCUUAACCAA